AAUGAACGCUGGCGGCGUGCCUAACACAUGCAAGCCGGAUGUGCCCGCAAGGGUGCAUGGCAGACGGGUGAGUAACGCGUGGGGAAUCUACCUUUUAGUGGGGAAUAACGCUCCGAAAGGAGUGGUAAUACCGCAUGUGACCAUUGGCUGGGAUGUUGAUGGUGAAACCCUGGGACCUUCGGGCCAGGGGCUAAAGAGGAUCCUGCGUCUGAUUAGCUAGUUGGCGGGGUAACGGCCCACCAAGGCGACGAUCAGUAGCCGGCCUGAGAGGGUGAUCGGCCACACUGGAACUGAGACACGGUCCAGACUCCUACGGGAGGCAGCAGUGGGGAAUUUUGCGCAAUGGACGAAAGUCUGACGCAGCAACGCCGCGUGGGUGAUGAAGGUCUUCGGAUUGUAAAACCCUGUCGCCAGGGACGAAGGGUGAGGUGUGAAUAGCGCCUUACUUUGACGGUACCUGGAAAGGAAGCCCCGGCUAACUCUGUGCCAGCAGCCGCGGUAAGGU
rnacentral:rRNA from 1 species